CAACCCCGUGUGUCACCCUGGGCAGGUUUCUUGCCCUCAGCUGGUCUCAUGUCCCCCCAGCCUCGGUAAAGAAUAGGGGGGCUGGUGACCUUCCCAGCCCCACAGCCAGGAGUGACGGGUACUAGAAUGGAUGGCCCUGGCCCUGCCAGUCCCAAAGUGGGGCAAUCCACCCCAGCCCCCGGGGCUCCGGCUUCAUAAUUUAUAUGCAGUACACGUGCCACUCCAAGGACACGGGGAAACACUGGCGGUUGCCGGGGGCUGGGAGAAGGAGGGGCCUGGGGAGCGAGUGCUAAUGGGGAUGGUUGCACAAUUCUGUAAAUGUGCUAAAAACCACCCACUUCCGCGCUUGCAACGGUUGGAUUUUAUGGUAUGUUAAUUAUGUCUCAAUAAGGCUAUUUAAGAAAGAAAGGACAAGAGGAAGGAAAGGAGGGAGAGAGGGAGCGCCCAGGGUCAGGCCAGAGCUGCCUUUGGGAUUUGCCUUCAGCACCCAGCCUCUCCCCAGCCAUCUCACUCCAGGCACCCCCACUCCAGAACACAGAGAAGCAGCGUGUGAAGACCCCCAAGUGGCAGAGGACGGCUCCGGCUGCCGACCAGAGUGGCAGGGACCCCUGCCUCUGGUGCUCACCCUCUCCGAGGCACAAGGAGCCAACGUGGAUCAAAGAGCAGAAGCCCCAGGAGCUGCCCACACAUCCCCGUUCACACAGAACACCAAGGCCUAGAAGGUGAAGGAGCCGGUGUGCCGGGAACAUGCACGACACAGGCGCUCGGAGGCCGUUUCUCUGUACCGCACCAGUGGGAGAGCCCACUUAAACCCACGCAUGCGGGGACAAGCCCAGAAGAGAUGAGCAGCCCCAGCCCUGAGAAAGUGGGGAAGUGCUCCUCCCCAGAGGGCCCAGGGCCCACCUCCCGCUGCCUCCCCAGGCGGGGACCCUCGGAAGAUCCACCUUGGACUGGAGCGGAAGCUGGGCCGAGAAGCGAGGGUCUGGGCCGCCACAGGGGAAGGUCUGGGCUCGGCCCGGCAGCAGCUGAAGUCCCCGCAUUCCAAAACCACAGGCCGGGAAGUGACACAUCUGUUGCCAGACAGGUUUAGGAGGCAUCUGGGGAGUGGGGCUCCGGAAACUAGGUCGGGGCCGGUGCCAUGCUGGCCAGCCUCCCGGGAGGCCCAGCAAGGAGACAGCACCCCCCUCCCCACUACAGGGGCUCCCGGGGGACCCUCCAGGCCAGCACGAGGGAGACCAUGACCCAGGGCUGCUGUCCAGGGCAGCGAAAUGGUGGAAGGUCUUCCCCCUUCCCCUGUCAAAUCUGCAGCCAUCAUGACCUUCCUUGAACCACAAGUGAGACAAUGAAUGAUGAUAGUGACAGCUUAACCCUUACUCAGUGCCUGCUGCGUGCCAGGUACCGAGCAACCGAGCACUGUCGGAGGUGCAGCGAAUACCACAAACUGAGGGGCUUGAGGCCAGACACGGGGCCGGCAGUGUGGUGCAGAGGGUUGUGUUCAGUGUUGACACCUGUGACACCAGCAUCUGGUAUGAGCAGCCGGUUCUGGUCCUGGUCGCUCUACUACUUUUUUUUUUUUUUUAAAGAUUCAUUUAUUUUAUUUGAAAGUCAGAGUUACACACAGAGAGAAGGAGAGGCAGAGAGAGAGAGAGAGAGAGAGAGAGAGAGAGAGAGAGAGGUCUUCCAUCCGCUGCCUCACUCCCCAAUUGGCCACAAUGGUCGGAGCUGUGCUGAUCCGAAGCCAGGAGCUUCUUCUGGGUCUCCCAUGUGGGUGCAGGGGCCCAAGGACUUGGGCCAUCUUCUACUGCUCUCCCAGGCCAUAGCAGAGAGCUGGAUGGGAAGUGGAGCAGCCAGGCCUCAAACCAGUGCCCAUAUGGGAUGCUGGCACUGCAGGCUGGGGCUUUAACCCUCUGUGCCACAGCGCCAGCCUCUGCUCUACUUCUGAUCCAGCUCCUUGCUAAUCCACCUGGGAAAGCAGCAGAAGUUGCCCCAAGUGCUUGGGUCCCCGCCACUCAUGUGGGAGUUGUUGAUGGAAUUCUAGGCUCCUGCCUUCAGCCUGGCCCAGCAUUGGCUGUUGUGGCCAUCUGAGGCGUGAACCAGCAGGUGAAAGAUCUCUCUCUAUAUAUCUCUCUGGUCUCUCCCUAUCUCUCUGACAUUCUACCUUUCAGAUAAAUAAAUCUUGAGAGAGAGAGAGAGAGAGAGAGAGAGAGUCAGUCAGUCCCCCGGAGGCCCUCCCAGCUCCCAGCUAAGCCAUGGGUCCCGGAGGAGACAGAAGAGCAAGGGUGUUGUGGUGUCCCCCAGCGCUCCCUCCCAACGGAACAGGCGCCACCCCACUGUUGGCCACACGGAGCCUGGCCCCAGCACAGCGCGGCGUUUUCUCAUCCGACACUCUCAAGGUGGAGACCGAUUCUCCAGAGAAGGAUUCUCCAGAAAACCAGGACUCAGAGGAUGCCCGCCAUGCCAGUGAGGCCCCAGCUCUGCCCACACCUCAGUCUUUUGGUGGAGGGCACUCAGGGGGACUGGGGGCCGCGGGCGUGGGUGUGCCUGUGAGGAUAGAAGGGAUAGGUCAGAGCUGAGGACCAGGAGCCUGUCAAAUCGACACGCUCUGGAGCCCCACAGGGCCUGGAGGGCGGGCAGGCAGUGGUCUGGCACAAGCAGAGGCACAAGACCCUGAGGGACCUCCGCCCUGGACACCGCCGGCCAGAGGAAUCAACCGUGACCUUCCGAGUAGAAACCCCAGUGGCUUCCCUGGGAGCUCAAGACAGAAUCCGACCUCCUCCCGCUCAGCUCAGCCUGCCCCCGCCUUCCUGCGUGCGCCCCACAGCUGCCACAGGGCCUUUGUACUUGCUGCUCCCUCAGCCUGAAUGCCAGCCCCGGAACUCUGUGCACACCACUCCUCACCCCUGGGUCCCCAGCUUGGCUGCUGCCUCCUCAGAGUGGCCUUGGGGUUAGAGACGUCCAGUAAUCUUCUCUCCUAUCUCUGUUUUACCUCCUUCAUAGCACUUACUGCAAACCGCAAUUACUCUACUUUUAAGAUUCAGUGGGGCUGGUGUUGUGGUGGUUGAGCCACGACCUGUGACUCUGGCAUCCCGCAGAAGCUCAGGUUUGAGUUCAGCUGCUCCGUGUCUGGUCGGGCUCCCUGCUAGUGCAUCUGGAAAAGCAGCAGCAGACGACCCAGGUGCUGGGGCCCCUGCACCCACACGGGAGACCCAGAAGAAGCUCCUGGCUCCUGACGUCAGCCUGGCCCAGCCCUGGCUGUCAUUGCCAUUUGGGGAGUGAACCCGCGGAUGGAAGCUCUCUCCCUCUCCCUCUCUCUGUAACUCGGCCUUUCAAAUAAACAAAUACAUCUUUAAAAAUA